UACGGAGGGUGCAAGCGUUGUUCGGAAUUAUUGGGCGUAAGGGCGCGUAGGCGGUCCAGUAAGUCGGAUGUGAAAGCCCUGGGCUCAACCCAGGAAGUGCAUACGAAACUGCUGGACUUGAGUACGGGAGAGGGAAGUGGAAUUCCUGGUGUAGGGGUGAAAUCCGUAGAUAUCAGGAGGAACACCGGUGGCGAAGGCGACUUCCUGGACCGAUACUGACGCUGAGGCGCGAAAGCUAGGGGAGCAAACGGG
rnacentral:rRNA from 1 species